CGCACUCGGUGAGCUUGCAAAAGUCUGACAGACUCAUGACUCUGCGGGGGAGAAGAAUAUCAAAACAGUCCUGAAGAUGAAACCUAAUAACGCACUAAUAACAAUACACCUUCAAAAUGUCUUCACGUGGUGGCCUAUCGUGUUAUGCAGCAUUUCAGAGCCAAUAUUUCACUACACCCAGUAUUUGGCCUCAGUGAGUCAUUCCACUGGGACAGUAUCAUCUUCUCUCCUGUCUGGCAGCAGAAGACCUGUUAAAAGGAAUCAAUUAGUACAAGGUGGGAAUGUCCACAUACCUUGUCAUUUUGGAAGAAAGUGUUAGAGGUUGCUAGCCAGAUUAUUGCGGAAGAGGUACCCCUUAAGCCCAAACUAUGCUUAUUACUAUAUACCCGGAGGACUUUGCCCCCUCAGGCAAUGUACAAUGCCUCCUGAAUGUCUGUCUUUUGGAGGCCAAGCGCUGUUUGGCUAGACAGUGGAAGUCAGAGGAGCCGUGUGUGUUGGCGCGCAAUGGGUGAAGGGAAUUUGUUUUUAUUUUGCACUUGAAAGAAUCAGUUAUACUUUAAAGGGGAAAUUAGAUACGUUUUGGAAAAUUUGUUAUGUUUUAUGAUUUCCUUAAAAGUAAUAAUAUUAGAGUAGAGGGCUGGGAGACAGUGGGUAUUUGAAUGGGAAUUCGUUUUGUUUUUGGGAUGAUUGUUGUGUUUUUUGUUUUUUACUUUUACCUUUACUGUUAUUUGUAUUUUGCUUUUG